UACAGUGGGGGCAAGCGUUGUUCGGAAUUACUGGGCGUAAAGGGCCAGUAGGCGGCCAACUAAGUCACACGUGAAAUCCCCAGGCUUAACCUGGGAACUGCGUGUGAUACUGGAUGGCUUGAAUUCGGGAGAGGGAUGUGGAAUUCCAGGUGUAGCGGUGAAAUGCGUAGAUAUCUGGAGGAACACCGGUGGCGAAGGCGGCAUCCUGGACCGGUAUUGACGCUGAGGCGCGAAAGCUAGGGGAGCAAACGGG
rnacentral:rRNA from 1 species